rnacentral:rRNA from 1 species
GACGAACGCUGGCGGCGUGCCUAAUACAUGCAAGUCGAACGCACUCUCGUUUAGAUUGAAGGAGCUUGCUCCUGAUUGAUAAACAUUUGAGUGAGUGGCGGACGGGUGAGUAACACGUGGGUAACCUGCCCUAAAGUGGGGGAUAACAUUUGGAAACAGAUGCUAAUACCGCAUAAAACCUAAACACCGCAUGGUGUAGGGUUGAAAGAUGGUUUCGGCUAUCACUUUAGGAUGGACCCGCGGUGCAUUAGUUAGUUGGUGAGGUAAAGGCUCACCAAGACCGUGAUGCAUAGCCGACCUGAGAGGGUAAUCGGCCACACUGGGUCUGAGACACGGCCCAGACUCCUACGGGAGGCAGCAGUAGGGAAUCUUCCACAAUGGACGAAAGUCUGAUGGAGCAACGCCGCGUGAGUGAAGAAGGUUUUCGGAUCGUAAAACUCUGUUGUUGGUAGAAGAAUGUAUCUGAUAGUAACUGAUCAGGUAUGACGGUAUCCAACCAGAAAGCCAACCGG